rnacentral:rRNA from 2 species
GUGUGCCUAAUACAUGCAAGUCGAACGCGUUGGCCCAAUUGAUUGAUGGUGCUUGCACCUGAUUGAUUUUGGUCGCCAACGAGUGGCGGACGGGUGAGUAACACGUAGGUAACCUGCCCAGAAGCGGGGGACAACAUUUGGAAACAGAUGCUAAUACCGCAUAACAGCGUUGUUCGCAUGAACAACGCUUAAAAGAUGGCUUCUCGCUAUCACUUCUGGAUGGACCUGCGGUGCAUUAGCUUGUUGGUGGGGUAACGGCCUACCAAGGCGAUGAUGCAUAGCCGAGUUGAGAGACUGAUCGGCCACAAUGGGACUGAGACACGGCCCAUACUCCUACGGGAGGCAGCAGUAGGGAAUCUUCCACAAUGGGCGCAAGCCUGAUGGAGCAACACCGCGUGAGUGAAGAAGGGUUUCGGCUCGUAAAGCUCUGUUGUUAAAGAAGAACACGUAUGAGAGUAACUGUUCAUACGUUGACGGUAUUUAACCAGAAAGUCACGGCUAACUACGUGCCAGCAGCCGCGGUAAUACGUAGGUGGCAAGCGUUAUCCGGAUUUAUGGGGCGUAAAGAGAGUGCAGGCGGUUUUCUAAGUCUGAUGUGA